rnacentral:tRNA from 1 species
GGAGGAUUAGCUCAGCUGGGAGAGCGUCUGCCUUACAAGCAGGAUGUCGGGGGUUCGAGCCCCUCAUCCUCCA